rnacentral:rRNA from 1 species
CCUACGGGAGGCAGCAGUGAGGAAUAUUGGUCAAUGGACGCAAGUCUGAACCAGCCAAGUAGCGUGCAGGAUGACGGCCCUCCGGGUUGUAAACUGCUUUUAGUUGGGAAUAAAAGGGGGCUCGUGAGCCCCGUCUUGUAUGUACCAUCUGAAAAAGGUCCGGCUAAUUCCGUGCCAGCAGCCGCGGUAAUACGGAAGGUCCGGGCGUUAUCCGGAUUUAUGGGGUUUAAGGGGGGCGUAGGGCGGCUUUUAAGUCAGCUGUGAAAGUCCGGGGCUCAACCGUGGAAUUGCAGUUGAAACUGGAGGCCUUGAGUGCACACAGGGAAGGCGGAAUGCAUGGUGUAGCGGUGAAAUGCUUAGAUAUCAUGAAGAACUCCGAUCGCGAAGGCAAGUGUCCGGGGUGCAACUGACGCUGAGGCACGAAAGUGCGGGUAUCAAACAGGAUUAGAUACCCCUGUAGUC